rnacentral:rRNA from 1 species
CAGUAGCCGCGGUAAUACGGAGGGGGCUAGCGUUGUUCGGAAUUACUGGGCGUAAAGCGUACGUAGGCGGCUUUGUAAGUUAGAGGUGAAAGCCUGGUGCUCAACACCAGAACUGCCUUUAAGACUGCAUCGCUUGAACGUCGGAGAGGUGAGUGGAAUUCCGAGUGUAGAGGUGAAAUUCGUAGAUAUUCGGAAGAACACCAGUGGCGAAGGCGGCUCACUGGACGACUGUUGACGCUGAGGUACGAAAGCGUGGGGAGCAAACAGGAUUAGAUACCCCCGUAGUCCCUGUCUCUUAUAC